UACGGGGGGAGCAAGCGUUGUUCGGAUUUACUGGGCGUAAAGGGCGCGUAGGCGGCCAGCACAAGUCAGUUGUGAAAUCUCCGGGCUUAACUCGGAAAGGUCAACUGAUACUGUGCGACUAGAGUGCAGAAGGGGCAACUGGAAUUCUCGGUGUAGCGGUGAAAUGCGUAGAUAUCGAGAGGAACACCUGCGGCGAAGGCGGGUUGCUGGGCUGACACUGACGCUGAGGCGCGAAAGCCAGGGGAGCGAACGGG
rnacentral:rRNA from 1 species